UUUAUACUCCCUCCGUCCCAAAAUUCUUGUCUUAGAUUAGUCUAGAUACGGAUGUAUCUAAUAUCAAAACGUGACAUGAUACAUCCGCAUUUAGACAAAUCUAAGACAAGAAUUUUGGGACGGAGGGAGUAUUUC
rnacentral:pre_miRNA from 1 species